GGUUGUUUGCCAAGCGCCAAAAGAAUGUAGAAGCAGAAGCCUAAAAACCAGGAUGGCGAGCGACGAUGACAGUCUGAAUUGAAAUGGAAAGUGAACAAGAUGAUCUACUUUUUUUUUUUUUUGUCACCUUGAGUAGGCUUCCCGGAGCAAGCGAAGACCUUUUUUUUCCCCUGAAGGGAUAGCCGCGGCUUGGCUCGCUCAUUGCGCGGCGGACUUGGGGCUUGGCAAGAUCCCCGUUUCCCCGCUUGAGACUGACGGCGUCCCUCACAAAGGCUGCAAGGGCACGUCGGUCAUUUGGUUUCCCGGACAACGGCGGUGGGGCUGUCUGUGGGAUGAGCGUCCCGUUGAUUUGACGAGAGGCCACCCGCGAAUCCGGCGCGUCGCCUUUGGUCGCCACGGUGACAGAGGCCGAGUUGGCCAUGGCGGGAGGGCCCUUACAUGCCCGUGUCAACUUUGAGGACGUUAAUCAGUGUUUGUGGCUGCGCUGUACUGAGGUGAACUUCAUCUGGGACAGCUCGCAUGUGAAACACGCAUGUUCCUUUUCUCACUUUGCUUCGCUUUCAGGGUGCAACAUAAACGUUCAGAAUAGGAAUGCUGUUGCAGAGGUGGCAAAAUUAUUCACACUCUCAAGUAGAAGCACAGAUAGUUGUGUCAGAAAAUAAGAAUCAAGUCCCGAUUGAACUCCUGCCCUCAAAGGCAAACCAAAACCAAGAUGUCCAAACUUGGUAUUUCAAAUCCGCACGUUUUCCGUAUUAGCUUGCCGUUUGUUUCUGCGCACCAAGUAUUUAUUCUUCAAUAUAUGUUUAGAACAUGGGGUCUACUCGCUUGCGGUGACAAUUCUGCGGUUUAAUUCUUACUCCGCGGGCGCGAUAUGAAUCAGUGCUGCCACUUAUAGAAAACCUUGCUUUAAAAAAAGUGCAGGGCUUUAGUUCCCCUUGAAGAAGUACUCGGAAAUAUCAAAAUUCCAUACUAUCUAAAACCCAUGUUGACAUCAUGGCACAAAUGGUUGGGAGAGGGGGCAUCUUUACACACCAAAUAGAUCCCCUCUUUUAUGAACUGACUGAGUGCUUGAUUGUUAUUUCUUUUUUUAGACUGGCGCGAGACAACACUUUGACCACAAAUCAUCUUGGGAGUCAACUGUAUCAAAGAAUUCUCUUAGAAAGGCAUUGGGAGGGAGAACAAAGUACCCCCCCCCCCCCCUUCCAAAA